GAUGAACGCUGGCGGCGUGCCUAAUACAUGCAAGUCGAGCGAACAGAUAAGGAGCUUGCUCCUUUGACGUUAGCGGCGGACGGGUGAGUAACACGUGGGUAACCUACCUAUAAGACUGGAAUAACUCCGGGAAACCGGGGCUAAUGCCGGAUAACAUUUAGAACCGCAUGGUUCUAAAGUGAAAGAUGGUUUUGCUAUCACUUAUAGAUGGACCCGCGCCGUAUUAGCUAGUUGGUAAGGUAACGGCUUUCCAAGGCAACGAUACGUAGCCGACCUGAGAGGGUGAUCGGCCACACUGGAACUGAGACACGGUCCAGACUCCUACGGGAGGCAGCAGUAGGGAAUCUUCCGCAAUGGGCGAAAGCCUGACGGAGCAACGCCGCGUGAGUGAUGAAGGUCUUCGGAUCGUAAAACUCUGUUAUUAGGGAAGAACAAAUGUGUAAGUAACUGUGCACGUCUUGACGGUACCUAAUCAGAAAGCCACGGCUAACUACGUG
rnacentral:rRNA from 1 species